AUGUAUCUCACGUCUUUACUGCUGCUGCUGAUUGCAGGAUGUGUCCACUCUCAGAUUGUUCUCACACAGUCUGAGAGGUCAGUAACAGUGGCUCCAGGUGGAUCCCACAAACUGACCUGUGCCUGCAGUGGAUUCACUGUGGGCAGCUAUAAUAUGUACUGGGUUCGUCAGGCUCCUGGGAAAGAACUGGAGUGGAUCGUAUUCUAUUACACCAGUUCUGUCAAGAGCUCAGCUCAGUCAGUUCAGGGCAGAUUCACAGCAUCCAAGGACAGCUCUAAUCUCUACCUGCACAUGAGUCAACUGAAGCCUGAAGACACUGCAGUGUAUUACUGUGCUCUGGACUCACUGCGGUGGAACUCAUACAGACAGCUGUACAAAAACUGGAGACACUAUACACAUUGCCAUUAUUUAAUCUCAUGA